AGAGCCUGGUACAUUCAGUUGAGGCAGGCCCAAGCUCCUCCCCCUGCAUCAAGGCUGUGCAAGGUGUCCCACCAUAGGUAGAGGGCUCCAAAAAGCCACCUCAUGCUCCAGGAAAGGAUCCUGAUCCUACUGCCAGGGGACCCCUUAAGCAGAUCAAGCUACACAACUGUAUUGCUUAUGCAGAGGGCCCAGUCCAGUCCCAUGGAGGCUCCACAGAUGUUGGUCUAAAGUUCAUGAGUUCCCACUAGCUUGGUUUGGUUGUCUCUGUAGGUUUCCCCAUCAAGAUCUUGAUGCCCCUUGCUCAUAGAAUCCCUCUUCCCUCUCUUCGACUGGACUCCUGGAGCUCGGCCUGGUGCUUGGUUGUGGAUCUCUGCAUCUAUUUCCAUCAGUUACUGGAUAAAGGCUCUAUGAUAACAGUUAGGGUAUUCACCGAUCUGAUUACUGGGGUAGGCCAGUUCAGGCACCCUCUCCACUAUUGCUAGUUGUAUAAGCUGGGGUCGUCCUUGUGGAUUCCUAGGAACUUCCCUAGCACCAGGUUUCUCCCUAUCCCCAUAAUAUCUCCCUCUAUCAUGGUAUCUCUUUCAUUGCUCUCCCACUCCAUCCCUAUUCCAGCUCAACUACUCUGUUCCCUUAUGUUUUCAUCCCCCAUCCCCUACCCUCUGUUGCUUCCUCAUCCUCGGUUUAUUCAUAGAGAUCUCAUCUAUUUCCCCUUCCCAGGGUAAUCCAUCCUGGGCUAUCUAUGUAUCCCUCUUAGGGUCCUCCUUGUUAGCUAGCUUUUCUGGAGCUGUGGGUUGUAGUCUGGUUAUCCUUUGCUUUACAUCUAGUAUCCAUUUAUGAGUGAGUAUAUACCAUGUUUGUCUUUCUGAGGCUGGGUUACCUCACUCAGGAUGGUAUUUUUUAGUUCCAUCCAUUUGCCUGCAAAUUUCAUGAUGUCAUUGUUUUUUACUGCUGAGUAGUACUCCAUUGUGUAUAUGUGCCACAUUUUCUUUAUCCAUUCUUUAGUUGAGGUGCAUCUAAGUUGUUUCCAGGUUCUGGCUAUUAUGAAUAUGCUGCUAUGAACAUAGAUGAGCAAGUGUCCUUGUGGUAAGAUUGAGCAUCCCUUGGGUAUAUGCCCAAGAGUGGUAUCAUUGGGUCUUGAGGUAGAUUGAGUCCCAGUUUUCUGAGAAACCACCAUACUGAUUUCCAGAGUGGAUAUGGAGCAAGGGGAACACUCUUCUACUUUUGGUGGGAGUGCAAACGAACAUGAGACUGAACACGAGACUUUAACUGAUGCUCUGUCAUGUUGCCCCUAGUUUUUAACAUGAGUUGGGUGCUGAUAACUGACUCCGUUGUGAAACUGUCGACUCAGGGAAGUCUCCCAUUUUGCCAAUUGCUGUAGGGCAGUCAUUGCUUUAGUCACAGCGAUGAGUUAGUAGCCAGACCAUAAAGACUUCAGUUAGCUAAACCGUGUCCUCAGAUGCCUUUGUCUUAAACCUACACUCUGGACAUGAAAGUGUAAUUCAUAGGUCAAAGCCUCAGCUGAAGCAUGUGACCUGCUCAAUCUCCAUUAUCAAGCAAGAUUAACUAUUUUAUGCACUAAAGGUCAAAAACCAGUGUUUGGAUAUUUAGAGAUUAAAUUAAAGCAAGGAAUGAAUUUAAGAAUAAGUUCUUGUGAGGUUUCAACAUCACCUUUAAAAAGAUGCUGAGAGAUGUGGAUGUCAGCACAGUUCGAACCCCCAGCAGCACAGAAAAAAAGGAACCAAGGCCAAAAGAACCAAAACCAAAACCAAAAAACCAAAAGGCAGCUCCCUGUAUCUCUUUAAUGUUGCUCUUACCAAAAAAUGAUGAGAGUCUUACUCAUCUACACAUGAACUGGAAUCCAGGUCUUCUACAUCCUGGCUCCUUAGAUGAUUUGGGGAACUUUCUGUGAUAUCUCAGCACUCCACAUUUGACCAAGAGAACUUAACAUGGUAAUAGCAGUUAGCUAGACAGACAUUAGACUUUGAGGACAGACAUCCUCCCUCCCAGUAAACUUUGAACACCACCUCCUGUUUCUCUGAGGACCAAGAAAGAGAAGCCCUGCUUAGUAUUUAAAACACCUUAUGAGAAAGGGAAAGUGUCUGGACUUUGAUGAGGCCCACUCAGUGAAAGCUAUUUCUUCCUGGCCAAACGUAGUGACUCUGGCUCUCAGUAGAGCCAUGGCAUUCUGCCCUUCUCCAAAGGUAAGUCCAUUACAUACUGUUAGCUCCUCCUGUAAGGAAGCGGAGCUUCCUGGUCCUGGUCAGGAGUCUGACUUCCCCAGGAAAUCUGAUUCUCCUGAAGAUAUUCUAAGGAGAAGAGAGGACUAAUUAGCUCCUUAAUGAGAUACUGUAUUUCUCCCUCCAGAAGAUGUGAGCAGUGUUUCCCUUUCUCUUUUCUAUCUCUUUUUCUUUCAGAUAGCAGCCAGACACAUGUGCAUGCUUCCGCUGGCACGCUGGCCUUUCUCGGUCUCCUAUGAAGCUCCCCUCACACUUUCCCCUGCCCGGGGCUUGCUGAUCUCCGAUGCUGAACCCGCCUGCUCUCUUGAAGUCAUGACCUUUUCUUUUCUCCUCUAUCCCUUUCCUCCUGGAAAACUAGGAAACCAACAGGGAACCCCAGGUCUUCCCAGUAACAACAGUACCUAUCAUAUGUCUGAAAGAUCUUGGAGAAGAUAAAGUCACUUUCAGAAGUUAACAAGAAAAGCAGAGAAAUGGGAGAUCAUGAAGUCACCCUCAUUGUGUUAUUUUAUCUCCGGUGGCUUAACUGAGAUCUUUACAUCCUGAUCCAAAGGUUGUGUGCUGCCGGGAAACUGCACCUGGGUCUUCUGCAAGAGCAAACGAAUGCUCUGGGAUGCACCAGGGUUCUGGUCAGGCAUCCAUUUAGGAUCCUGAUGAUGUUAACUGACAGGAGCCAGGCACAAAAGACAAGUGCUGCAUGAUCCCACUCGUAUGCAGAAUAUAAAAAAGUUGGUUCCUCUUGUGGUUUGAAUGAGAAUUUCAAGCCAGGCAUAGUGGCGCACGCCUUUAAUCCCAGCACUUAGGAAGCAGAGGCAGGCAGAUCUCUGUGAGUUUGAGGCCAUCCUGGUCUACACAGUGAAUUUCAGGACAACCUGUCUCAAAAACAAACAAACAAACAACAAACAAACAAACAAACAAACAAACAUUUUUUUAAAAGAUUUCCAGAAGUCAAACACAGUGAAUUAUUUCUUUAUUCCUAGCACUCAGGAAGCAGAGGCAGGUGGGUCUCUAUGAGUUUGGGGCCAGCCUGGUCUACACAGUGAUUCCAGGAUUGCCAGGGCUACAUAGUAAAACACUGUCAUGCCCCAUCUCCACAAGAACAAACAAACAAACAAGAACAACAACUUCCCCUCCCCGCAAAAGCAGUAGCUUGUCAUCCAUAUUCUUUCCUUCUAGAUAUUCUGGGACAACAAUGGCCCCCCAGUCAGUGUGGGGAUGGCUUAGACGGAGGGAAGGCGGGUACCUAGCACCUUUAUGCACUAGCCCACAUGGCUGAAAUUCUGAUUCUUAAGCAAUGCUCAUUCUGGUCUUUUGAUAAGGAAAUGGGAGAAGGGAGCAGUGACGGUCGUGGGAAAAUAGAUAUUUGUCUUUUUUUUUUUUUUUUAGGUUUUU